AGGGGCCUUCAGAGCCUGCCCUUCCGCAGGAGCUCAGAGGUCUGGAGCUCCACAUACCUUCCACGAGGCCUUGGCUUGGGUGCUACUUCCCCCCAUGAAUCACUUCAAUCUGUUUAAGGCUGCACAGUGAACCCUUCACAGGCCACGUUCUGCACAGCGUCCUCAGCAGGAAAUGGUUGGCUGAGCAAACAUUUGUUUCCUGUUUUGCUUUUGAUGAUUUUACAUUUCAACUCAACCUAGCUUUCCUCUUUUUGUUUUUGUAGUAAUGAAAAUCAACACACCGAACCAACAAAAUUGGUUAUAUCUCAUGUGCUUUGAAUGAUGCUAUUAAAAAUACACUUGAAUAUAUCUUAUAAGAGGUAUUGGUUUUAGAAGAGGGCGAUGGAGCUUCGGAAUGGCCUGGGGACUGCUGGAGAGGCACAGAAGGCCUUGGACCUUGUUGAUUCACAAGUCAGACUCUGACUCUCAGCUGGACUGGAACCUCCCUGAGGAGAGAGACUUCAAUAACCUGUUCGCCACUCUAUCCUCAGCACCUACCUCAGUGCCUGAAGUCCUGUAUCUGCUCAAAAAGGUUUGUGAAAUGAAGUUCACUUUGUGUAAGACAUGUCAGCCAUUUCUUGUAAAUAGGAUCAUUUUCUUUUGAGACUGAUCAAAUCAAACCUUGCUCAAUCUAGGAGCUUUAAGGAAACCUCAGGCUAACAGAAGCAUAAUCAUAACCAAAGAGGUUUAGAUUUGCCCUAAACUUCAGGAUUUACUUUGAUUGCAGCAAGCCACAACACAAAACAUUGCACGUUUCUCUAAGAAGGGUCUAGUGAGUGGUGCCUUGGCCAAAAGGGUGAUAUCUUCCAGUCAUGCACAUUCUCAUAUCUUGUGCCAGGAUGCACUGGGGUAUGGGGUAACAGCACCUGCCAGGACCACCUCCAACCAGACACUCUCAGCAGUGGCUCAACUCUCAUUCUGGUCUUGCUUAUCACAUUUUGCUUAUGCAAUUAAAGGAUGAAAGAGGGAUCAAAGGAGCAAGCAGAUUCUCCCCUUUACAAUGUAGCAUGUAAUCAAUCUUUACAUUUUUAGUUACUUAUUGAUAUGUUUAUUAUACUCCAAGAGAAUUUUAGUUCAUAGUUAGCAGAAGCCUAAAGUUAGAUGUGUACAAAAAUUUAAAAUGUUGCUCCUUUUGUCACAGUAUUAUUUCUUCAGGCCAGUGUGUGGGUGUGGCAGUAAAAAAGGCAGGCACACACAGACCCUGGACAGUUCUAAAUUGGAAUAGAAACUUCUGGGCUGACCCUGAGUGUCCUAAACCGCUUUAAGGUGUAACCAACAUGAGCUAAGGCUUCAAGGGCUUGUGUUAUGUGCCCAUCACCAUCUCAGCACUUCAUAAAUAUGAACUCAGGUAAUCCUCACACAUCUCCUCGAGUAUGUUACCAUCAUCAUCCCUGUUUUACAGAUGAGGCAAGGCAGGCACAAAGCAGUAACUUGCUCAAAUUCACACAGCAAGGCAGGGAGGAAUCAAGAUUUGGACUCACAUCUGAUUCCAGAGUCUGUGCCCUUAACUACGCAAGUGAAUGCUAACCAGAAAAUUCAGUGCCUCCCCCCAGAAAUAACAUGGUGCAUACUUCCAAAAAGAUGAACCAGGGCUAAGAAUCAGUGAGCAGAGAAGGAGGAACAGAGUUUUUGUUUGUUUGGUUUUAAGUCACAAAAAACUCCAUCCCUGGUGGUGUUUACUGCUGACUAAAAAAAUAAGGUGCUCAUAGAAAACAUGAAAAAUAACAAAGUAUAAAAAAUAAAACAUAUCUCAUGUAAAUCUGGGUUCUUUCA
ensembl:lncRNA